AGCAUGAAGCCUGUGUCUGUCUGAGCAUUCAGAGCCUCCAAGGGGAGAGCUGAUGUAAUCCUUGCCCCUGUUAUGAAGCCUUGGCCUCUCUUCUGUUGGACAGAAUUGUUCUUUGGAAAGUAGAAUAGAUGAUGAAAGCUCAGUGGGGGAACACAAGAGGUAGUUAUAAGAGGCUGAAGUAAAAGAAAGUCAAGAAUGUGAACAAUUCUGAGCUGGUGCUUGUGAUGCCUGGAGAAAAGCACUUGAUGCAAAAGUUGCAGAGAACUUUUUGCUUUCCUCAUUAAUGUAUCGAAGAAGGAGUUUUUACUCAAAGGACACGUACAAAGAAGUCAGGUUGCUUGUUCUGUGGAACACGGAGUCAGAGGAGCAGAUGAAGAAGAAAGAAGUGUGAGCUUGUGUGUGUGUGGAUUCAUCUUGCCAUGGAUCAGGAGUUCACCUUGUGAGAGCUCGUGUGGACAGGUCAAGGCUCUGACAGCUUCAGUGGCUGCCACGGGUUCCUCUGGCUACCCCUGUCUGGGAUUUUGAGGCUUGAGUUUCUGCAAUUUAUAUUCACCACUGUAAAGUCAUCUCUACCACAGGUUCCCAGGGAUCCCUGGGAUGUCUUCACAAAGCACUGUACGCUCUUCCCUUCCAUAUAACUGAAGAAUCAGUUAGGAUGGAAAAGACUCAAAAGAUCGUCCACCCAUAACCAACCUAACACUACUAUGCUCACCACUAAACCAUGUCCCUAAGUGUCACAGGAUUUCAGCUCAAAGCCAAUGUCACAAAAUUUAAUGCAGGUUCUUAUGGAGGAAGAAGCUGAUUUUAUUGUACAAAAGCCUUGAACAGAAUAAUUCUGCCCCUCAGGCUCUCACACUCUCAGCUGUCAAAAUGCAUGCGUUCAGGUGGUCUGGCCAGAGUACAUGUGAAAUUGGAGGAUGAGGGAUCUGGCAUCUCUUUGUUGCCUGUUGUCUGGUUAAAACAAAACAGCUUACGGACAAACCUCAUAUAUACCGUAGGAAACAUCAUCUGCAAUAAGGUAGUUCCUUGGCUUGUUUUUUGCUUACCUCACCUGUCAUAAAUCUUGGAUCAAGUUACUCUCUCUACUGACUUUUCCCCCGUUGGAAAUAUAUAUACUUGAGUC
rnacentral:lncRNA from 7 species